rnacentral:rRNA from 1 species
UGAGUAACCUGCCCUUCACAUCGGAAUAACCAUUGGAAACGAUGGCUAAUACCGAAUAUGACCUCGGAUCGCAUGAUCUGAAGUGGAAAGCUCCGGCGGUGAAGGAUGAGCUCGCGGCCUAUCAGCUUGUUGGUGAGGUAAUGGCUCACCAAGGCGACGACGGGUAGCUGGU